CCUACGGGAGGCAGCAGUGGGGAAUAUUGGACAAUGGGCGCAAGCCUGAUCCAGCCAUGCCGCGUGAGUGACGAAGGUCUUCGGAUUGUAAAGCUCUUUCGGCGGGGACGAUAAUGACGGUACCCGCAGAAUAAGCCCCGGCUAACUUCGUGCCAGCAGCCGCGGUAAU
rnacentral:rRNA from 1 species